GGCAGCUCCCCACUUUCCCGAUGGAGGAAAGGAGCCGAGGAAGAUCAUCCAGUCACUCGAUGGGGAUUACCAGCGGACCACCUGUUUGUAUCACCUUCCCACCUCUCUGUAGCAAGAAAAAUCACUUCAGCACCUCUUCAGUAAUAAUGAUGAAACUGGUAUUAACUGAAUGGCAAUUAUGGAUUUUUAACUCUAAUUCACAGUAAACCAGCAAGCCAUAUGUUUAAAAUCCAACCAAAAAUCGUUCUGUGUUGCUGCAUGUCUCAUACCGUUGUGAGAAGUUGUGAGAUAGCCACUUGUGCAAAGAGGAAUGUAAGUGUUACCUGCCCGAGGAACACAGCAGAAGCAGAAAGAGAAGACGUCUUAAUUUAUCAUUACAGAUAUAUGAAAG
rnacentral:lncRNA from 1 species